UGGGAUCAAAACAAAGAUACAGAACUUUUCAUAGCAUCUUCUAUGGGAUUACUCAGGAACCAGAGUUUUCACACAAAUGUAAGAAAUUCUACCAAGGAAUCCCUUUAUGUAACAACAUCUCACAGAGCUCCAAUCAGAUCCAGAAAAGACCUCUUGAUCUAUCAAGGUAGAAUCUA
rfam:Echinops telfairi cont1.381729, whole genome shotgun sequence.